rnacentral:rRNA from 1 species
AGAGUUUGAUCCUGGCUCAGGAUGAACGCUAGCUACAGGCUUAACACAUGCAAGUCGAGGGGCAGCAUGAUCUUAGCUUGCUAAGAUUGAUGGCGACCGGCGCACGGGUGAGUAACGCGUAUCCAACCUUCCCCUUAGUAGGGCAUAGCCCGUAGAAAUGCGGAUUAAUACCCUAUGUUGUAUAUUGAGGACAUCUGAUUUAUACCAAAGGUUCACCGCUAAGGGAUGGGGAUGCGUCUGAUUAGGUAGUCGGCGGGGUAACGGCCCACCGAGCCGACGAUCAGUAGGGGUUCUGAGAGGAAGGUCCCCCACAUUGGAACUGAGACACGGUCCAAACUCCUACGGGAGGCAGCAGUGAGGAAUAUUGGUCAAUGGACGAGAGUCUGAACCAGCCAAGUAGCGUGCAGGAUGACGGCCCUAUGGGUUGUAAACUGCUUUUAUACGGGGAUAAAGUGAGGGACGUGUCCCUUUUUGUAGGUACCGUAUGAAUAAGGACCGGCUAAUUCCGUGCCAGCAGCCGCGGUAAUACGGAAGGUCCGGGCGUUAUCCGGAUUUAUUGGGUUUAAAGGGAGCGCAGGCCGAUGGUUAAGCGUGACGUGAAAUGUAGCCGCUCAACGGCUGAACUGCGUCGCGAACUGGCUGUCUUGAGUGAGUUCGAUGUGGGCGGAAUUCGUGGUGUAGCGGUGAAAUGCUUAGAUAUCACGAAGAACUCCGAUUGCGAAGGCAGCCCACAAGGCCUUUACUGACGCUAAAGCUCGAAGGUGCGGGUAUCGAACAGGAUUAGAUACCCUGGUAGUCCGCACGGUAAACGAUGGAUGCCCGCUGUUUGCGAUAUACUGUGAGCGGCCAAGAGAAGUCGUUAAGCAUCC